GACGAACGCUGGCGGCGUGCUUAACACAUGCAAGUCGAACGGACAGGCCCUGCUUUUGUUGGGUUCUCGAGUGGCGCACGGGUGUGUAUCACGUGUGUAACCUGCCCUUGACUUUGGGAUAACUUCUGGAAACUGGGGCUAAUACCGGAUAGGAGCUCCUGCUGCAUGGUGUGGGUUGGAAAGUUUCGGCGUUUGUGGCUGGACUCGCGGCUUAUCAGCUUGUUGGUAGGGUUGUGGAUUACCAAGGAUUUGACGGGUAGCCGGCCUGGGAGGGUGACCGGCAACAGAGGAACAGGGGAACGACCCGGACGCAAACGGGGGGAAGGAGUGGGGAAUGUAGGACAAAGGGCGGAGGGAGGAGGGAGCAACGCCGCGUGGGAGAAGACGGCCUUCGGGGAGAAAACCGAUUUCGAGUGAGACGAAGCGUGAGUGACGGAAAUGGGGAAAGAGGCACCGGCAAACAAGGU
rnacentral:rRNA from 1 species